AUGAUUGUGUUCCUGUUUAUAGAUGACACCAAAGAGGAUAUCAUUGCAUCUCUAGAUUCCACUAAGAAUGUUCUGGAGGAUGCCAGUGUCACAUUCUCCUGCAAGUACACUGUAGAUAUUAACUCUGUACACUGGUACCGUCUGUAUCCUGGAGCUACACCUGAAUUUAUCCUAUUCAUAACGGAGUACAACACCACGGGAGGAGCCCCACCAAGAAUGUUGUCUCACAUCAACAAAGACACCAAGCAUGUAAUUCUGGAGAUCUCAUCCGCUGAAGUCUUAGACUCUGCUGUCUACUACUGUGCUGUGCUGCCCACAAUGACAGGAAACAUACAGACACUAUACAGAGUCCUGGACUGGAAAAAAGCACACUUUAAGAAAAGUUUUGUACCCUCAGCUAUCACUGCACUAAACAAACUCCUGUGA